AGGAGCUGAUAAGACGCACGGAAACACCGUGUCAGGGGCUGUGCAGCCACGCUAAUGCUACAUUUAGAUGCAAGAAUUUGACAGCUUCAUUACUGUGAUUGUCCCUGAGCACUUAUGUAAGGAAAGAGGCUGUUCUCCCCACCAGCUCCCAGGCCCACAGCAUCUAUGCCUGAGCUCCUCAGCAUUUGGAGAGGAGGUGGCCACUGGUUGUACUGACCCCAGACCACUGUCAUAGGGUAAACAUUCCAGGCACCUCAUUUCCUCCUCACAACCACUCUGCCAGGCAGAUAUUGUUAUCACCAUUUAACAAGGAAAAGGAUGAGAUUCAGAGAGGCACAGUAACCACGCUUUCAGCUGCGAGGUACAGAACACUCAGCCACAAGUGGCUGAGACGGAAGCUUCCUGACACUAACAGGGAAAAGAAACAGUGGCCAGAGACUGUCUCCUGAAAAAUGUGCAGGAAGGGUAAUUCGGAGGCCAAGACAAAUGUGUGGGAUGAGCUCCAGCCGGGCCUCAAAACAGAAGCUGAUGACACUCACAGGCUUCUGGGGCUCCUAGGAGGCCUUGUCACAUUCCACAUUUUUUCUGCAAGAGCUCAAAAGUUGCCUUCUCUGGAAGCUUCCGUGACUUCAGCAGAUGUUUUCCCCUUUCUUGGUUCACUCUGUCAUUUUGGUGGAGCACAUCUUCAGUAGCCUCUUGGAUGCAUGGGAGCAUGGAGCCUGCCAGCCUGCUUCUACCUGGAUCCUAUUUGCCACCUUGGAACAGAAGCUGUCUUGUCAAUGUGUGCAAUGAUUACAUUGGGGGAAGAUGGAGAAGCACAGAACAUUUAUCAACAUAUACCAUAUGUUGGGCUAUAAAACAAGUCUUUUUUUUUGAGGAAGAUUAGCCCUGAGCUAACAUCUGCCACCAAUCCUCCUCUUUUUGCUGAGGAAGA